rnacentral:lncRNA from 1 species
GUAGAGCAGAUCGCAUCCGAUUAUCUUUAAGUUAUAGCAGAACAAGUUAAAGCUAUAAGACUUAUCUCCCUGAGGUUGCAGAGGAGUAGAUCAAAGAUGGCAAAUUUUGUUCUUUUGAGAAGCUACAAAGUAUGAAUCUUAUCUCCCUGACAUUACAGUGGAGUGGAUUGAAGCACCAGUUCCUAUACCUCUGAAGAUGCAGUAGGAAGGAACAAGGCUACUGGAAAGAGAAGCAUGGAAUAGGUUGAGACUCAGUUGGACCGGGCACAAUUGGGUUUUAGUCUUUGCUCUAUUCCUGUUACACGACAAUGAGCAAAGAGGGGCAGCUGUACAAGCCCAAUACUGUUCGGCCCACUAAAAACCAAAUUAACAAGCCCAAUUACCCAAACAAUAACCCAAACCUAGCCCAGUCCAGAAACCCAAACCCAUAUUCAAAAAAAAAAAAAACCUAGCCUAAGAAGCAGCAAGCUUCAGUCGCACGCCCAACAGCAGCCUCCCUAACUGCCGCCGCAUCCUCCGCGCACGUACGCCUCUUCCACGGCCUCCAUACCUGCGAGAAAAGCGGAUCCAAACAGCAAUAGACGCAGCAAAUAACGAAAUAGGAUUCUUUACUUUUAUUUUGUUGUAAUUUUGGCUAUAAAA